UACAGAGGGGGCAAGCGUUGUUCGGAAUUACUGGGCGUAAAGAGCUCGUAGGCGGUUCGGUAAGUCGGAUGUGAAAUCUCCACGCUCAACGUGGAGGGGCCAUUCGAUACUGCCGUGACUCGAGUCCGGUAGGGGAGUGUGGAAUUCCCGGUGGUAGCGGUGGAAAUGACGCAGAUAUCAGGAGGAACACCGGUGGCGAAGGCGGGAUCCUGGGCCAGUACUGACGCUGAGGAGCGAAAGCGUGGGGAGCAAACAGG
rnacentral:rRNA from 1 species